UACAGAGGUCCCGAGCGUUGUUCGGAUUCAUUGGGCGUAAAGGGUGCGUAGGCGGCGGGGCAAGUCUGAUGUGAAAUCCCGGGGCUCAACCCCGGAACUGCAUUGGAUACUGCCUUGCUUGAGUACUGGAGAGGGAACUGGAAUUUACGGUGUAGCAGUGAAAUGCGUAGAGAUCGUAAGGAAGGCCAGUGGCGAAGGCGAGUUCCUGGACAGUUACUGACGCUGAGGCACGGAGGCCAGGGGAGCAAACGGG
rnacentral:rRNA from 1 species